rnacentral:rRNA from 1 species
GACAGAGGCCUCGAGCGUUAGGCGGAAUCACUGGGCUUAAAGCGUGUGUAGGCGGAUGCCUAAGUACCUUGUGAAAUCCCACGGCUCAACCGUGGAACGGCUGGGUAUACUGGGCGUCUUGAGCCAGCUAGGGGCGACCGGAACAAGCGGUGGAGCGGUGAAAUGCGUAGAUAUCGCUCGGAACGCCGAAGGUGAAAACAGGUCGCUGGGAGUGCGCCGACGCUGAGACACGAAAGCCAGGGGAGCAAACGGG